rnacentral:rRNA from 1 species
GACAGAGGAUGCAAGCGUUAUCCGGAAUGAUUGGGGCGUAAAGCGUCUGUAGGUGGCUUUUUUAAGUCCGCCGUCAAAUCCCAGGGCUCAACCCUGGACAGGCGGUGGAAACUACCAAGCUGGAGUACGGUAGGGGGCAGAGGGAAUUUCCGGUGGAGCGGUGAAAUGCGUAGAGAUCGGAAAGAACACCAACGGCGAAAGCACUCUGCGUGGGCCGACACUGACACUGAGAGACGAAAGCUAGGGGAGCGAAUGGG